rnacentral:lncRNA from 1 species
GGUUGGUGGCCAUGCUAUGGCAGCCACCCACAUACAAAAUAAAGGAAGACUGGCAUAGAUGUGAGCUCAGCAACAAUUUUCCUCAUGAAAAAAAAAACCCAAAAAUGUUGGACUUUAUACCAUUGUAAUGAUAAACAUUAAAACAUACUCAUGAAUGGAACCACGCUUAUGAGAGAGUGGCACAGAAUCAAAGAGAUUCAUUUUAAUAGAUUAACCAGAAAAAAUAAUAAUCAAAUCACACCUCAGUAGAUGCAGAAAAAGCAGUUGUUAAUAGUUAGUACCCAGUCAUAGUUUAAAAUGUUAGUAACAUCCUGGAAAGCAAGGAAUAAAAUUAUUAAAAUCUGAUUUAAAAACCUCUGCUAGAAAGAGACAGCAGGCUGGCCCCGUGGCUGAGUGGUUAAGUUCGUGCGCUCCGCUGCAGGCGGCCCAGUGUUUCAUUGGUUCGAAUCCUGGGCAUGGACAUGACACUGCUCAUCAAACCACGCUGAGGCAGCGUCCCACAUGCCACAACUAGAAGGACCCACAACAAAGAAUAUACAAUUAUGUAGCCGGGGGGCUUUGGGGAGAAAAAGGAAAAAUAAAAUCUUUAAAAAAAAAAAGAAAAGAAAGAUACAGCAAACAAUCCACAGACUAGGUAAAGUACAGAGCAUUCCUGGAAUGACAGGCAAGAUGCAGAUUUCCACCAUUCUUGCACAUAUUCAGCUUUAUAUCUAAGGUCAUAACCAGCCCAGUGGGUCGAGAAAAAGCGGGAAAUUUGGUGAAAAAGAUACAAAUUAUAAUUAUUUGCCCAGGAUACCUGCCUACAUUAAAAAACCAGGAAAAUUUGCAAACAAUCAGAAAUGUUACAGAUUUCACCAAGGCUGCUGCUGGACAACAGAUCACCUCCCACAACUCAAAAGAGACCUAUUCACCAGCAACAACUUCUUACAGAAAAAAAAUGAUUUCUUUUCAAAAGAGCCCUCUCAGAACAAAAACAAAGACUGGGUAAUUGAAGGACAAAUCUACAAAUAAUCGUCAAGGUCAUUCUGCAUAAAAUGGUAAACUUUUAUUGGGGGGCAUUAAAUAUCUGAACAUAUGGGGAGAUAUAACUUGCCUACGAAUGGGAAAGUUUAACAAGAAGCUGAUUCGUCCAAAUUCACUUGUAAACUCUAAACAAUGCUGAUCUGAAUGCUACCUGCCCUUUGUGUCUGUGUGUGGACUUGAUAAAGUUUUGCCCCCAAAUCAUAUAAGCAAAUAAUAUAAAUACAAUGUAAUACGUCAAUUAUAUCCCAAAAGAAUAAUAUGGAAUAAAUUCUCAACUAUUCUAAAAUUUAUGUGGAAGAACAGGAUAUUUUGAAAAACAUGAAGGAAAGGCUUUCUCUGUAUGCCCUUCAGAAAGGUGAAAUGAUAAAAAGCUGAUAAAUGGUGUGGGUUGACAGGGGUCAGGGCUAAAGGUCAGAGUGUAGACUGGGGUAUCCAUGAUGGAGAUUAAAUGUUUUAUACGUUUAAAACAUGACCAAGUAGCCAGGAUCCUGGGAAUGAAUCGAGGAAGAAACUCUCAUCCUGGUCAAACGAGAUGACAGUUGAGGGGGUUGUCACAGAAUCCUUCACAGUCAUGGGAGUGGGAGGCAGCCUAAGGGCAUUACUGAAGGAAGAUGCCAGCAACACGUGGAGAUGCACACCAGGGAAUAUGAUGCAGCAGUGAGAAGCAAUGGGAUAAAUACACUCAGUGUCACACAGUUUUAUAAAUAGUGGUGUGCAAAAAAUAAACAGAAUGAAAUUUAAAAUACAAUCUUAUUUAUGUACAUUAAAAACAUAUGCUCCCGUGAAAAUGUCCUAGGAAAGGAGGACUCAAAUAAACAAAGUUGCUCAUAUAAAUAAGGGAAAUAAACGUUUUUGGACAUUGGAAGAGUGGUCUGUGGUGGGCAAGAAAAUGAGAGAGAGGCAGGGGAUGAGAGAGAAAAAGAAAAAGUAAUGUAGAUGGAAUAAGCUCCAGUGGGAUGGCAGCUAAACAGGUGGGCAUUUGUCUGGGGAGCAAACAAUGAGGGGAGAUGCCCUAAGUGGGUGGCGGAGACCCCACUUCAGCUCCUGGGCAGCUGGGUGUCUUACUGAUGCCCUAACAUGCACUGUGCAGAACUGCAUUCUGGGAUUCCAUAGAGGGUCUGGUGGACAGGGUGACAUACCUCCAACUGAAUGCAUUGCAGCGCUAAACCUAGGCACGCGCAUCCUGUUACCAGCUCACAGUUAUAGACAAUAUAUGAAAUAUUCCACCACGUUCACCGAGUUCAGUCAUGGGACCUUCUCUGCGAGAGAGGUCUAGUGCACUUGAUGGGUGAUGGGAUUCCUGGGCUUGUAGAUGCAGAGCUUUGCGCGCGCGCGCGCGUGUGUGCCUGCGUGUGCGCGUGCAUCUGUGUGUGUGUGUGUGGGGGGGUGCAUCAAGACAGCGGGUGAAUAGGGAUCCAUUCAACUGCUGGCGUUUGGAGAGGGCCUGAGGGCAGAGCGCAAACCUUCCAUCUGCGCUAUCGAGGGGGAAAGAUUACUGAUCCAUAGUGAGAAGCUGGAAGAUCAUUGCUGAGACGGAGAAGAACCAAAUUCCCAGGUCGGAACAGACAAGGCAGAACUCAAAUGGUGCCAAAUUCCAAUUAAACAAGUUCCCACCUCUGAACAAGAUCUAGGUUCCUGAGGUCAAAGAAAGAUUUCCCUGGAAUUGGUGUGUCUGCGCGAGGAGACCAGCCUUGUGGGCCAAGAGGGAGUUGGGACCAGUGAACAGAUGGGAGGUGACCUCGGGGGGGCUGGGAGAUAAGACUCAUGAGUUGCACGCGUUUCAGGAGAGGAGACUUGCAAGGGCAGGAGCGCGGAUGCCAGGGCACCGACACUGGCGAGGACACCCGCAGCUGGAGCGCAACGGGCGUGGAGACCAGUACGGAGUCCAGCGUCGCCACCGUUGCAGGAGAGGGCACUUGGCAGCUGAGAAGACUUGCACUGUGGGUGUCACGGGCGUUGUAGGCGACGAGACAGGUCUUGCGCACGUGGAGGCGGGCGAUGAGACUGGCGACAGGGGCUUACGCAUGGAGACUGGAGAGGAAGUCUCUGUCCGGGGCAUCACCAACGUCCGGGGCGGGAGACUGGCGUCACAGACGUCGGGGGCGUGGAGAGGGGCGAGGAGAUUGGCAGUGGGGUUUGACCAGCGAGGUGAGGAGACAGGAGCGGAGAGCUGCCUUGGGGUGUUGGUGGCGUGGAGUCGAGGGAGGAGACUGGUAUCGGAGGCAUAGAGAUGAGCGAAAAGAUGCCAGACGAGGGUGUCGAGGGCAUGGUGGGCGUGCAGACCGGUGGGGAGACCCGCGUCCCGGACGUUGCAGCGGUCUGGGGUGGGGAGAUGGCCGAGGAGAGCUGCGUUCCAGGCGUGGAGACCGGAGAUGCGGGCAACUGGAGCGUGGGCAUCGAAAAGGAGACCGUGUCUCCGGUGUUGCAGGUGUGGAGACUGGCGUGCGGGGAGUGGAGAUUGGCUUGGAGACAUGCGUCCCAGGAGUCGUGGGCAUUGAAGGAACAGGCUGACCACAGGCGGGAAAUACACCUGCAACACAUCCAUCACAGCUGACAGAAGAAUAGAACAAUGUGAUGCCCGGAGCCUCUCAUGCCUGGAGACCAACAUCCCUGGACCCCCUCAUUGCCCAUUUUCCCUCUGUAACUGCCUCAAGAUUCUCUAAACCUUGAAGAUGGGUUUUGUGAGACAUUAGUCACCUAUCUUGUGAUUAGCCGGCUAAUCUAAUUAAACUUCCUUUCUCUGUUGUGAUUAAUUGGCUCAGAUCACAGCGAGCAGAGCCAUCCCAUUGCUCAGAGUUCACCUUGGAGUCUGGGGAAUAAAACUGUGCAACAGAGUACUUGGGACAGCUAGUAAGAGCAUCACCCCCUGGCUAACACUCCCUGCCUACCUGGAAGACAGUCCCAGAUCCAGAUAAUGUGAAAUACAUGCCAUUAGGUUGGACAUCUGCUGCCUUGGACCAGUAGCUUUCCACCAGGGGAAUUUUGCCCCCAGUAGACAUCGGCAAUGUCUGGAGAUAUUUUUGGAUGUGACAGCUGGGAAGUGGGGGGGUGGGGGUGGGAGGGAUGCUACUGCCAUCUAGUGGGCAGAAACCAGGGGUGCUGCUAAACAUCCUACAACUUCCAGGACAGCCUCACACAACAAAGAGGUACCAGGCCUCAGAUGUCAAUAGUAACAAGACUGAGAAUCCUGCCAUAGAUUCUACCAUCCACUACGCUUCCUUAUUGAGGUUCUUUACCGUCAUGUUGGUUACCUCCUCUCAUAGACCCAAGAUUGGAAUGCCUUCCACCAGAUAGUCACAUGGCUCCUUCUCAUUUUAUUCAAAUCUCUGCUGAGAUAGCACCUCCUCAAAACAAAAAUAAACACAAAACCUCCCAAAGACCACCCCCAAAGUCAAAACAAAAAUACUCUCCCUAAGCAUUUUAUCUUAAAAAGCAUCCAUUGGUCUCCAUCCCUUUGUACUGCCUUCUUUUUCUUUUCUUUUCUUUUCUUUUUUUUUUUCUUUUGAGGGACAUUAGCCCUGAGCUAACAUCUGCUGUCAAUCCUCUUUUUUGCCGAGGAAGAUGGGCCCUGAGCUAACAUCCGUGCCCAUCUUCCUCUACUCUAUAUGUGGGACACUUGCCACAGCAUGGCUUGACAAGCAGUGUGUAGGUCUGCACCUGAGAUCUGAACCAGCAAACCCCAGGCCACUGAAGUGGAACGUGCUAAUUUAACUGCUGCGCCACUGGAGCGGCCCCUGCCUUAUUUGUCUUGAGCACAUUUAUCACUUCUUAGCAUCAAAUUACAUAUCUCUUUGUUGUCUUUUUCUUUUACUGAAUGUAAGAUCUAUAAAAUCAGGGCCUCUUUUGUUUACUGCUGAAUUCAUUCAUUUAUUUAACAAAUAGUAAGUGAUCGACUAUUCCAGUCACUAUCAUAGACCCC